rnacentral:lncRNA from 1 species
AUCUCAAGGCAAAUGAAUAUUCUAUAUAACACAUAGUUGUGGUUAAACCGACAUGCUUCUUAUGAUUCCUCUAUAGCACGUUAAUUAAUCUCAAUUCCUCUAAUGUUUGGCUAGAUAUUUACUCAUUCGUACUAAGCUUGCAUUAAAGAUCUUGAGGGAAGGAUGUCCUCAAGGAAAGUUUAAUUAUAAGAGCGCGCCACGAGAUAUAUAUGUCAGACCCUUCUAAGUUCUAAUGAGUCAUCCUACCACAAACAAGAGCCUAGACUUGAAUUAGAGAAGGAUAGAAGGGGCACAUUUAUUGUUCAUUGAGUUUCAAAUUGUGCAGCAACUGGGAUAUCUCAUUUAUCCCCAAAUUAAACAAAAGAUUUUGAAGGAUGGAGGCGAGAAAAGAGAACAGUCUGCAUAAUACUUUUUUCGAUCCAUAUUACUUGCCGCAUUUUUUUUGUACACCCCUUAAAAAAAAUAUUAGCGGGAGGGUAAUUUAACUAAAUUAUCCAUAUUUAUGAC